rnacentral:lncRNA from 1 species
GUCUUAACGUGUUGAACGGGCAAGAGACUAUAGUGUUGAAUGGGCAAGAGAAAAAACAAAGAGCUAGAGGGAAAAUCUCUUAGGAGUGAGUUCUUGGGAAAUACUGUCAAAGGUUGUAUAAGGAUUUCUGGUUUGGAUUAUGUCAAUUUAACUCAAACUGUAUUUUGUAAUAUUGUUAUUCUCAUAGUGCAGAGCAAUAUCUCUCCAGGGACGUAGGUAGAGUUUUGCCGAAUCUAUCUUUAUUUCUUUGUCUAUUUUUCAUUUAUUCAACUGUUGUUUGUUUUGAUCUGGUUGUAAUUUGAAUCUUGGUUCAGCACGGCCUAGCACAGCAUCCACACAUGUAUAACCAUUUCAUCUCCCAUUUUCUUGAUCUCGAUUACAAAAAGUGAAAACCAAAAACAAAAAAUUGAAACGAUUUUCAAGCUCCAAGUGACCAUUUAAUAACCAUUUUGUUUUCUUUUUUUCAUUUAUAUCAAAAUUAUAUACUGGUAACUGUUAUAAAUAGAAAAGUUAGAGAGAUAACCUUCAUUAGGAGAGAAGCGGAUGCAAAAUAUCACACUAUUUAGUUUCGUAACCAUAACGCAAUAGAUUGCAGGAAAGAGGAAAGGAGGGAUACUGAUAUUAUUGCUUUCAUUUCUUUUUUUUAGUUGUGCGUAGGAAUUACACAUGAAGUGCACUUUAUAUAGAGCCACAUCUGUGACAAAAAAUAAAAGCGAGGUGAUCGCUCCUUUUGAAAAUUUCAUAUAAUGACAAGCUACUACUGUAGUCUUUUUGAAAUCUUCAGAUACUAACAAGCUAAUGUUGUAGCCUUUUUGAAAUCUUCAGAUACUAACAAGCUAAUGUGGGCAUUCACUUUCAUAAUUUUACAACACUCCCC